rnacentral:rRNA from 1 species
GAUGAACGCUGGCGGCGUGCCUAAUACAUGCAAGUCGAGCGAAUGGACGAGAAGCUUGCUUCUCUGAUGUUAGCGGCGGACGGGUGAGUAACACGUGGAUAACCUACCUAUAAGACUGGGAUAACUUCGGGAAACCGGAGCUAAUACCGGAUAAUAUUUUGAACCGCAUGGUUCAAUAGUGAAAGACGGUCUUGCUGUCACUUAUAGAUGGAUCCGCGCUGCAUUAGCUAGUUGGUAAGGUAACGGCUUACCAAGGCAACGAUGCAUAGCCGACCUGAGAGGGUGAUCGGCCACACUGGAACUGAGACACGGUCCAGACUCCUACGGGAGGCAGCAGUAGGGAAUCUUCCGCAAUGGGCGAAAGCCUGACGGAGCAACGCCGCGUGAGUGAUGAAGGUCUUCGGAUCGUAAAACUCUGUUAUUAGGGAAGAACAUAUGUGUAAGUAACUGUGCACGUCUUGACGGUACCUAAUCAGAAAGCCACGGCUAACUACGUG